AGAUUAUGUCAAGCAAGGUGAUAAGAUGGAUACCGUAAGUCAAGGAAUGCAGAUGGCUUACAGGACUUGAAAAAGAAAUAUUUUCCCUACUGCCUCCAAAACGAAUGCAACUCUCUUGAGA
rnacentral:lncRNA from 1 species